CGUCCUCCCGAAAAUCCCAAAUCAAUCUCUCAUCGAUCAAUCAUCCCAAAUCCCCCAAUCAAAGCCACCGUCCCGAGGACCGCUCCGGCGGCAGCGGCGGCGGAAAGCUUCCCGCGGCCGCCGCCUCGCCCCGCUCACCCCCAAGCCUUCCCCCUCCUCGUCCGACUCGCGCCGCACCCCGACGACCGCCGGUGGCAAGGAGAAGUCGGCGGCGUCCAAGCCGUCCAAGCCCACGUCGGUCGUGCGGUGGUCCACUUCGUGGAUCCCGAGGGCCCGAGCUCCGUGGAGUCCUCCAAGCUCGUCUAUACCCUCCGGGCUGCCGCCCGGGAGGGCCUCUGUCGGGAAGGACGCGGAGGCUGAGGCGGGCUUGCGGCGGAGCGUGGGCAGUGGGAUCAGGUCUGCUUCUUUAUUUUGUACUCCGUACCAUUUAUGUCCAUGUAUUUUUCCACUACACUGGAUUUUUACAUGUAUUCACCAAAACAUUGUUCAAACUCAGUUGCUGCCAUGUUCAUAAGCAUGCGCACUAUUUUCUUGGCAUCAAUCCCUAGACACAUACACAGAGAUUAACCAUCAACAAAAUUAAUAUCUUGUUAGUUGAUUAAUGGGCAUCGAUCUUCAAUCGGCAAUGAGGAUCCUUCUCCUCUCUUUCCUGAUCAUAAUGCCUCAGUUAGCUGUGCCCUGGUGAACUUGAUACAGUGCACCGUCUGAGCUUAUUCCAUCUUAAGAUCGGUAACACCAUGGUCUUCUGAAGUUAUGCUCUCUGAAGACUUUAUUACCACCUGUGUUCCAAAUCUAGCAGCAAGCACUACUAGGGUCAGGGACCCAUUCCUGGAACUCUGAUCCUAAAUUCCCCUGAUAAUGUGAGCCGUCAUACCCUUCUCUCCGUCUUAUCAAUCAGUUUCGAGUUCACGAAAUGGUAACGGGACAGUCUUUACUGCUCUGAACUUGCCAACAUUGUUCAAGUGUUCAUUCUCCAGCCUGCAAUCCAGUCAACCAUAUACCCGAGUUAUAAUAAAACACUAAACUAAACUAAAGUUAAUGAUUCCAGCUCUAUUCUAAUUUCAAAUACCUGUAGAAGUUCCAAUGCCCCCGCCGGAUUAUUUCUAAUGAGGCAAGUGAAAAGUCCAGCAGGCGAGUCUCCACCUUACCAACACGGAACUUCAUUACGCUCUCAGUCCAGGCCAGGCGAAGUAGUAGAUUGAGCACCUGCGUCGUGAAGGCAUUAGUACUCCUAAAGGUAGUCUUUUCUGUAUCAGUAUUGUACUGCAAAUUGGUUGAACAAAGUGUAAUACCAUGGAAAGAUAGUAGAUGGAUUUAUUCUUCAAGAUGAGCUCAUCUCGCAGCCAUAGGUUCUUAGAUUUAGGGGUGAAGAAGCCCCAGUCCUUGACAAAGUCCCAGUAGAGCUGGUAAGAGGUGGCACCUGAGGACGAAAUGACUACCAUCAACACCCAAAAAGGCGUCGGCGUUGCAGCGUACUUGAACUUAACAGCAGCUGCAACCAUCGCCGAAACAUACUUUCCAGCAUUUGCGAGCUGAUUCAUGUCAUGUUCCUCCAGGUACCUUCUUAAACACUUCAAAACAUGGUGACAAGUUUUAGUUUCAAACUAAUCCUAACAAUUUGAAAUCUUACUAAUAUUCAUAUUUCAAUUUAUACCUGCAUAGCUCUCCAGUAAUAAGGGAGAAAAGAAAUCACAUAGGCUAUGUGUUUGUAUUGCUGGCCAUUUGUACAGGUCUCAUAUGGGUUAGCCUUAAAGCUUCCUGCCAUGAAGUAGCAUGCUGCAAACUCCAUGUGCCUUAAUAAUGGAACCUGGUACAUACAAAUUUAACUUAUAAGAAUUGCAUCUCAAUGCUCCAUUGUUAUAGUAUAAAAGUGAGAUGACUGUUACCUGGCUAGUUAGCUGGUCAGCCAUAAAAAAAUCAGCCAUCAGAACCUGCAUAAUGAGGCAGCCCUGUCAUCUAAAUGUUCAUAACCGUUUGUGAAUCGAAAGCUUCAUAGGUCUCCUUACCUUGUAGAAUGGCGAGAAUAUGAUGUUACGCAAGAUGCGCAUGAAGCAGUACCUUGUUGAGCGGUAGAACACAUUAAACGGACAGAACAGGACUCCUAUUGACAGCUGAAAAGUUUUGAAAACUGAAAUCAGUUGAUACACAACCUGAGCUAUCAAAUAUUCCAUAAUAUAUAGUUUGUGUUCUUACUACUAGGAGCCCGCCAGGCACAGCGUUUGCGUAGGAUGCACCGGCAUUCCUGAGGAACAGGUUGAUGACCAGUGCGGCCACCACAGUGCACAUGAUAGAUGCGGACAUGAGGAAGGCGUCCCUAUGUGUUAGGGCAGUGUUCGGUGCAAAAUCAAAUAUGAAGUUCU
rnacentral:lncRNA from 1 species